GUUUUUGAGUAGAUGCUACAUAGAGGAUCGAUGAAGAGAAAGUUCUCUUUCUGGAUUUUAUCGGGAUGCACAAUAUCUAGAUUGUUGAAAAGUCGUACCCU